rnacentral:tRNA from 1 species
GAGGGUAUUGCUCAGUGGUAGAGGGCAUGCUUAGCAGGCAUGAGGUCCUGGGUUCGAUCCCCAGUACCUCUG